CCUACGGGGGGCUGCAGUGGGGAAUAUUGGACAAGGGGGGGAACCCUGAUCCAGCCAUGCCGCGUGUGUGAAGAAGGCCCUCGGGUUGUAAAGCACUUUCAGUGAGGAAGAACGCCUGGUGGUUAAUACCCAUCAGGAAAGACAUCACUCACAGAAGAAGCACCGGCUAACUCCGUGCCAGCAGCCGCGGUAAUACGGAGGAUGCGAGCGUUAAUCGGAAUUACUGGGCGUAAAGCGCGCGUAGGUGGCUUGAUAAGCCGGUUGUGAAAGCCCCGGGCUCAACCUGGGAACGGCAUCCGGAACUGUCAAGCUAGAGUGCAGGAGAGGAAGGUAGAAUUCCCGGUGUAGCGGUGAAAUGCGUAGAGAUCGGGAGGAAUACCAGUGGCGAAGGCGGCCUUCUGGACUGACACUGACACUGAGGUGCGAAAGCGUGGGUAGCAAACAGGAUUAGAUACCCUAGUAGUC
rnacentral:rRNA from 1 species